AUUGAACGCUGGCGGCAGGCCUAACACAUGCAAGUCGAGCGAGCGGCGGACGGGUGAGUAAUGUCUGGGAAACUGCCUGAUGGAGGGAGAUCACUACUGGAAAAGGUCGCUAAUACCGCCUUCCAUCAGAUGUGCCCAGAUGGGAUGAGCUAGUAGGUGGGGUAAUGGCUCACCUAGGCGACGAUCCCUAGCUGGUCUGAGAGGAUGACCAGUCACACUGGAACUGAGACACGGUCCAGACUCCUAAGGUAGGCAGCAGUGGGGAAUAGUGCACAAUGGGCGAAAGCCUGAGGCAGCCAGGCCGCGUGUGUGAAGAAGGCCUUCGGGUUGUAAAGCACUUUCAGCGGGGAGGCGUUACCCGCAGAAGAAGCACCGGCUAACUCCGUGCCAGCAGCCGCGGUAAUAC
rnacentral:rRNA from 1 species